rnacentral:rRNA from 1 species
CCUACGGGAGGCAGCAGUGGGGAAUAUUGCACAAUGGGGGAAACCCUGAUGCAGCGACGCCGCGUGAGUGAAGAAGUAUUUCGGUAUGUAAAGCUCUAUCAGCAGGGAAGAAAAUGACGGUACCUGACUAAGAAGCCCCGGCUAACUACGUGCCAGCAGCCGCGGUAAUACGUAGGGGGCAAGCGUUAUCCGGAUUUACUGGGUGUAAAGGGAGCGUAGACGGCAGCACAAGUCUGGAGUGAAAUGCCGGGGCUUAACCCCGGAACUGCUUUGGAAACUGUGCAGCUAGAGUGCAGGAGAGGUAAGUGGAAUUCCUAGUGUAGCGGUGAAAUGCGUAGAUAUUAGGAGGAACACCAGUGGCGAAGGCGGCUUACUGGACUGUAACUGACGUUGAGGCUCGAAGGCGUGGGGAGCAAACAGGAUUAGAUACCCCGGUAGUC